ensembl:misc_RNA predicted gene, 24184
UGUUGGUUCAAGUUCAGUGGUAUUUGCAACUAAUUGACCAGAAAAAUUACAGAUUGCUCUUUCCCUUUCACACCCCCAUUACUUCACUUGGACAGCCUUAA